GUCCUACGGGGCGCAGCAGUGGGGAAUAUUGGACAAUGGGGGGAACCCUGAUCCGGCGACGCCGCGUGAGUGAAGAAGUAUUUCGGUAUGUAAAGCUCUAUCAGCAGGGAAGAAAAUGACGGUACCUGAAGAAGAAGCCCCGGCUAACUACGUGCCAGCAGCCGCGGUAAUACGUAGGGGGCAAGCGUUAUCCGGAUUUACUGGGUGUAAAGGGGGCGCAGACGGCGAUGCAAGCCAGGAGUGAAAGCCCGGGGCCCAACCCCGGGACUGCUCUUGGAACUGCGUGGCUAGAGUGCAGGAGGGGG
rnacentral:rRNA from 1 species